UCAAAUGAUUUGGCCCCUAUCUGAAACAGAAGGCGCACUUGCAUGUAGAAAAUAUAUUGGAAUGCAGAAAAUAUUGUUAUACUUUAAUCUGAACACAAAAAUUUCCCUGAAACAAUUAACAUACAUUGGGCCAUACAGUCAUGCACAUAGUUUUGACUGUCAGAUGUAUAAAGCAGCACAGUAUACAUAGUGAGUUGCAUUCAUGGCCAAAGACAUAUUAGGUUAAUUAUUUUACAUAAUUAUUUUUCGUCAUUUGCCACGCAUGUAAUCGGUGAAGGAUUCAGGAUUAUCCAGCAUGGAAAUAACGUUUUAAACGUGCUAUAUAAAACGGUGUUCAAUAUUCAUACUACAUGAUGAGCAUAUGGCCAAACAAACACCUUGUGCUUUUUUGCUCAAAUUUACGCACGCAUGAUUUUGUAUAUAUAAUAUAGAUUUAAAUCUAGCAAUUCAAAUCCAAAACUCAUGGGCUCAUGCAUGACAUCUAUCCAUAAUUUAUAUUUUCUUGAAAUGUUAGGUGAUUCAUUGUUGGAAGUGGAUAUUCGUCCGACAUUUCCAUAUCGUUAAAGUCGUUAAAAGAAAACAGCGUAAAUUUAUUUGAAUUUCAAGCUAAUCCUUCGUAGUGUAGUGGUUUAGGCACCCGUAUUGUGUGCGCCAAGUUCUGGGAUCGAUUCCUGCUCGUGCCACUAUUUUAUUAUUUUUUUUUAUACUUUUUUUUUCUUCGUGAUUUUCGCUUACGCACCGCGUACGAAACGUAUAGCGUAUCGAAUAUGUUGUUGCUUCGUUCUUAAGAAACAACGCAACCCUUUUAGUGGUUUAGUUUUAGCUUUUAAAGCGUUGUCGGAUGAAUAGCCGUGAAGCAGGAAGAUCCGGUGUCGGACGAAUAUCCACGGCGUUCAUUGUUAUUGCCGUUGUUGUAACCCAGUAAACAGACACACACCGCCGUUUAGACAUGUCACAUGUCGUUCUUGUUCCUUUUAUAAAUAUACAACAAACGAUAGACGAUAAAGCUUCGAAUUACUUCUCUUUAAUUUCCAGUCCGGCUUUGUCCAGUCUUUGAAGUGACUUUACAAGCGCGUGUUGAAACAGGUCAUCUGUACAAAAACCCAUGAUGUUUCGAAUCACAGCGGCCACUUCGAGCACAUUUCGAGCACAUUUCGACUCGAUCAUGUUUACAUCAUACAUGAAAAUUGAUACAUGUAAUACGAAACCGAAAUAUGGUUGUAUUUUGACGAAUAUUAACGAUAUAACGAAAUAUAAAACCCCAAUAUGUAUAAUUCCAUCAGGUGGUCUGCACAUAUUCCCUUUAUGGUGGAAAAUACAUCGAAACAAAAGAAAAAUCCAAUAUUUUCUGCUCACCAACACGUCUCCACUCCUCAGUAAAAAUUAGUGCAUGGUCAGCAUUUUUAACUUGCAGCAGAACGCGUUUACUUCCGGAAAACACCAGAAUUUGUGGUGUUCCGGUUUGGCUUGUCCCAGGGCUUACGGCAACGCAGGCAGC
rnacentral:lncRNA from 1 species